rnacentral:RNase_P_RNA from 1 species
GCGGAGGGCCGGAUGGCCGCUGCCGUCUUCGGGCGGGAGAGGAAAGUCCGGACUCCACGAAGCAACGGUGCCGGGUAAUGCCCGGGCGGGGCAACCCGACGGAAAGCGCCACAGAAAUCAGACCGCCCCGGAUCUGAUCCGGGGUAAGGGUGAAACGGUGGGGUAAGAGCCCACCGCGGCCCUGGCGACAGGGACGGCACGGCAAGCCCCACCGGGAGCAAUGCCGAAUAGGGGACCCGCAUGGGCGGCUUCGGCCCGGGUCCCGGGUAGGCAGCUUGAGCGCGCCGGCAACGGCGGGCCUAGAGGAAUGGUCAUUCAGGGGGCCCCGGCCCCCGGACAGAAUCCGGCUUACAGGCCCUCCGCAUGC